GGAGCCAUGGCUCAGUUGGUAGAGCGUCUCUUUUACACAGAGAAGGUCACAGGUUCGAGUCCUGUUGGCUCCA
rnacentral:tRNA from 1 species